UAAUACGGAGGGUGCAAGCGUUAAUCGGAAUUACUGGGCGUAAAGCGCACGCAGGCGGUUUGUUAAGUCAGAUGUGAAAUCCCCGAGCUUAACUUGGGAACUGCAUUUGAAACUGGCAAGCUAGAGUCUUGUAGAGGGGGGUAGAAUUCCAGGUGUAGCGGUGAAAUGCGUAUAGAUCUGGAGGAAUACCGGUGGCGAAGGCGGCCCCCUGGACAAAGACUGACGCUCAGGUGCGAAAGCGUGGGGAGCAAACAGGAUUAGAUACCCUGGUAGUCCACGCUGUAAACGAUGUCGACUUGGAGGUUGUGCCCUUGAGGCGUGGCUUCCGGAGCUAACGCGUUAAGUCGACCGCCUGGGGAGUACGGCCGCAAGGUUAAA
rnacentral:rRNA from 1 species